CCAGGAUUACCAUUUCACCAGGAACCGGCCAUGACUGCCAUGUCAAUCUCAACAGGGAUGAGC
rnacentral:snoRNA from 1 species